rnacentral:rRNA from 1 species
AUUGAACGCUGGCGGCAGGCCUAACACAUGCAAGUCGAGCGGAUGAAGGGAGCUUGCUCCUGGAUUCAGCGGCGGACGGGUGAGUAAUUCCUAGGAAUCUGCCUGGUAGUGGGGGAUAACGUCCGGAAACGGGCGCUAAUACCGCAUACGUCCUGAGGGAGAAAGUGGGGGAUCUUCGGACCUCACGCUAUCAGAUGAGCCUAGGUCGGAUUAGCUAGUUGGUGGGGUAAAGGCCUACCAAGGCGACGAUCCGUAACUGGUCUGAGAGGAUGAUCAGUCACACUGGAACUGAGACACGGUCCAGACUCCUACGGGAGGCAGCAGUGGGGAAUAUUAGACAAUGGGCGAAAGCCUGAUCCAGCCAUGCCGCGUGUGUGAAGAAGGUCUUCGGAUUGUAAAGCACUUUAAGUUGGGAGGAAGGGCAGUAAGUUAAUACCUUGCGGUUUUGACGUUACCAACAGAAUAAGCACCGGCUAACUUCGUG